rfam:Stegodyphus mimosarum contig33266, whole genome shotgun sequence.
GCCUUCGUGGUGUAGUGGUCAGCACGCUGGGCGCGUAUUCCAGAAAUCCGUAGUUCGAAUCCCGGCGAAGGCG